AUUGAACGCUGGCGGCAUGCCUUACACAUGCAAGUCGAACGGCAGCACGGGAGCAAUCCUGGUGGCGAGUGGCGAACGGGUGAGUAAAGUAUCGGAACGUACCUUUCAGUGGGGGAUAACGUAGCGAAAGUUACGCUAAUACCGCAUAUUCUGUGAGCAGGAAAGCAGGGGAUCGCAAGACCUUGCGCUGAUGGAGCGGCCGAUAUCAGAUUAGCUAGUUGGUGAGGUAAAGGCUCACCAAGGCGACGAUCUGUAGCGGGUCUGAGAGGAUGAUCCGCCACACUGGGACUGAGACACGGCCCAGACUCCUACGGGAGGCAGCAGUGGGGAAUAUUGGACAAUGGGGGCAACCCUGAUCCAGCCAUGCCGCGUGAGUGAAGAAGGCCCUCGGGUUGUAAAGCUCUUUGUCCGGAAGAAAGCAAUCGGUUAAUACCGGUUGUUCUGACGGUACCGGAAGAAUAAGCACCGGCUAACUUCGUGCCAGC
rnacentral:rRNA from 1 species